AGAUUUCGGUCCUAUGCAAUAUGAACCCAUGAACCAUGUCAGGUCCUGACGGAAGCAGCAUUAAGUGGAUCAUCAUAUGUGCCGUAGGGUAGCCGAGAUUUAGCU
rnacentral:SRP_RNA from 1 species